UAGCAGUCAUUGCUUAGACAACUUCUUAAACGUGAAAUAAUACCUUUUUCUUUCAGGAGCAGAAAGGAUGCUCCUGUCUCAACGAGAAGUUUAGUCAUCGCAUUGUGAUUAAGAACUCCUCUCCUUAAUCAGGCACAGAAAUAGUGGGAAGAUGGAGCUGCAGGGAGAAACUGCAGGAUGGGCUGCUAAUACUGAGGUACGCUUUUAAGAAGGGUGAAUGUUGGAGAUGUUUUCCUCUUGUAAAAUCAUUAGAAUAAUGCAGCCUGUGGAUAGCUUGAAUGCAUUGAAACAAUGGCUGUAGCUUGCAGAUUGUUGUGGUUUUACCCAGCAGGCAGCUAAGCAGCACAGCACUGCAUGGGGGAAAGGAUUGGAAAAAGAUAAAAUUCAUGGGUUGAGAUAAAAGUAGUUCAGUAGGACAGAAAAGAAAGGGAAAAUAAUUAUAAUAGGGAAAGAACACACAAAACAAGUGUUGUAAAACGUAAUUACUCCCCACCAUCCCACCAGUGCCCAGGCAGUCCCAGAGCAGUGCCCCACCCUGGCCAGCUCCCCUGGUUGGUAUCAUUCAGUGCAACACCACAUGGCAUGAGAGAUCACUUAGACUGGUUUGGGUCAGCUGUCCUGGUU